UGCCAGCAGCCGCGGUAAUACGGAGGGGGUUAGCGUUGUUCGGAAUUACUGGGCGUAAAGCGCGUGUAGGCGGUUCGUUAAGUCUGAUGUGAAAGCCCGGGGCUCAACCCCGGAAGUGCAUUGGAAACUGGCGAACUUGAGUACGGGAGAGGAAAGUGGGAUUCCAGGUGUAGGAGUGAAAUCCGUAGAUAUCUGGAGGAACACCAGUGGCGAAGGCGGCCAACUGGACGAGUACUGACACUGAGGUACGAAAGCGUGGGUAGCAACCAGGAUUAGAUA
rnacentral:rRNA from 1 species